UAUCACUAAGCGGAGGAAAAGAAACUAACAAGGAUUCCCUUAGUAACGGCGAGUGAACAGGGAAAAGCCCAGCACCGAAGCCUGUGGCCAUUUGGUCUCUAGGCAAUGUGGUGUUUAGGUCAGCUCGCGGAGACACUGUCCCACUCUAAGUCCAGCAAUGAGACUGGUAUCCUGGACAUGGCCCAAAGAGGGUGAUAGGCCCGUGAGGGUGGGAACUCAGACAAGCCAGUGUCUCCCUGAGUAGACCUUGGAGUCGGGUUGUUUGUGAAUGCAGCCCAAAGUGGGUGGUAAACUCCAUCCAAGGCUAAAUACUUACACGAGUCCGAUAGCGAACAAGUACCGUGAGGGAAAGUUGAAAAGUACUUUGAAGAGAGAGUAAACAGUGCGUGAAACCGCUCAGAGGUAAACGGGUGGAGUUGAACUGCAGAGCUCAGAGGAUUUAACUGGUGAGUGUGGUAUACACUUGGAUAUACGGGUUGGCCCUCAAAGUCUGCAGAUAACUGUGGAGGCUGUGCUUCGGUGCGGCGUGCGUUGAAGCGCUUAUCAAGCGCUGUGCUCUUUGGGGGUACUUCGAACCUGCUUGCCAGUGCAUUUUCUCAGAGUGAUCACCACGACCGGCGCUGCUGUCUGUCUGCUGUGGUUAAACCGGGUGUGUAUCGUCCUUGUGGCUUUGCAUACUCGGGACGGCAGGUAACCCGAUUGUGCUUGUCGCGAUUGGGUGUAAUCAGCUGACCAUAGUAUUACUGUGCAGUGCGUCGGAGACGGCGGCUUGUGGUGCGUACAUGCGUGCUUUGUUGAGUGGCGACUUUGGGUCUGGUUAUCUUGUAGCCUGUAAAAACAGGCCCUGUAAUGGCCCAGGUUGUUCCUUGGCGGUUGCGUAUGGGGCACUUUAAUGGGCCUAAAGUCUGUGGUGUAGUGGUAGACUAUCACCCGA
rnacentral:rRNA from 1 species